rnacentral:lncRNA from 14 species
GGGCACUGAAAAGGUGUAGGGCCUUUGUUGUGGCAUGAUGUUCAUCUCCUCUGGAAGUUCAGCCUUCAGCAGCUGUGUGGGGACUUGUGCCACAUCUGACAGUACUUGGCUGCUAGGGGAAAUGAUGCUACUUGGGCAGCAGCUUUCUGGUCUUCUCCCUUGGUUGAAAGCUAGGAGCCACCUUCGUGCUCUACAGCAUGGCUGACAAGGUGUGCUUAAAAGCAAGAUGGAUUAUGAAAAUGUGUGCCACAACUUAUUGGCAUGUAUCCCUGAAACAGGAACAUGUGAGAUGAGAAACUCUUCAUAUGGCAAGAUUUCAGACUCCCUGGCACAAGCAAGUGUAGAAGGAAAGAAUUGCUGUAAGCCAUUUUAUACUCAACUAAAUAAAGGCCAAGCCUCAUCCUGGUAUAAGAACAAAGCUGAUUAAAAGCUG